CUUUGUUAAUGGGCAAUGUCUAUAGAAUAUUCUUAGAGGAUGUAAUCCCGGUGGCUGUCAAGAUUUUUAGUUUUGGAAUUAAUCAUACCCCAUUUUACAAUCAACGAUUUCAUCCACUGAUCCACACAUGUGAUUUUGGACCAGAGAGCAAGCUACCUACUGCCAUCAUGUUUCACCAAUUUUUUUGUUUUUUGUUUUUGCUGAUUAAAUUGAUUGUUUGUUAUAUCGUGACCAAAUGUUGCUAGAUGUAAUUAGUCUGGGAAUAUUAUUAGGGAUGCAAUCUCAUUUUGGUUAGAUCCCUGUUUAAUGAUUUUAUUUUUGCAGGUGUUUGGAUGUAAGAUCACCCCACCAAAUCACAGCGGCCAUGAAAAAAGUUCCUUCUUUGCUCUGAAGAUAUUACGGGUUCCACCGUUUUUGUAUCCCUGGACAGUGAGGUCCAGUAGAUGUUUCGCUCUCCUGUAUCCAAACUCUUGAGCGGGUCUCUGGAAUUAGCAAUGAUGGCAUGUAGCUUCUCGCCGAUUCUGCAUCAGCCCGUGAAUUUGCAAGUUACUCCGACCUCCAUCAACAUGAAGCAGAACAUUGCAACCAGCUGCACAGUCACCCUUCUUGACUGUCAUCGCCUCCCUGCACCGCCAGACUGAAGCAACCCUCUUUAGCCAUAGUUGAAUACGUAUGAAGACUAAUGUCAAAUAUUCAGUAUUCGUGUUAAUUAAAAUGAAAAGUCGCUACAUUCGUAUUUAAUGGUUUUGCUUGAAAUUUUGGAUAGGUUUAUGGGUGUUUAAGGAAAGUGAAUGCUGGAAUUUUUGUGGGAGGCGUUUUGAUAUCUUCCUAUUGGUGUAAAUUACUUCAUCCAAGUUUUUAGUUUGUGUUGUUUCUCAAUUUGGGAGUUGAUGAAAAUGAUCAA